rnacentral:rRNA from 1 species
GUGAGGAAUUUUCCGCAAUGGGCGAAAGCCUGACGGAGCAAUGCCGCGUGAAGGAUGAAGGCCUAUGGGUUGUAAACUUCUUUUCUCAGAAAAGAAUUAUGACGGUAUCUGAGGAAUAAGCAUCGGCUAACUCUGUGCCAGCAGCCGCGGUAAGACAGAGGAUGCAAGCGUUAUCCGGAAUGACUGGGCGUAAAGCGUCUGUAGGUUGUUUAAAAAGUAUUCUGUCAAAGAUUAGGGCUUAACCCUAGAUAGGCAGAAUAAACUUUUAAGCUAGAGGUUGGUAGAGGCAGAGGGAAUUCCCGGUGGAGCGGUGAAAUGCGUAGAUAUCGGGAGGAACACCAAAGGCGAAGGCACUCUGCUGGGCCAAUACUAACACUGAGAGACGAAAGCGAGGGGAGCAAAUGGGAUUAGAAACCCUAGUAGUCC